CUUUGUAACACAACAAACCUCGUCUUCCCAAAAUUCCAAAGCAGAACAAUUUUAAUUUGCGAUUCUCUGAUUCGAUCGGUUAAAUUCGAAUCGAAGGCGGCGCAGGAGGAUUUAUCGGCGGUGUUAGUGGACGCUGCCGGAGCGGCGAUGGAGGUUCAUGGCUCUGGAUUCCGUCGAAUUCUGCUGUUGGCGUUGUGUAUCUCAGGGAUCUGGUCCGCUUACAUCUACCAAGGCGUUCUUCAGGAGACUCUGUCCACGAAGAGAUUUGGUCCUGAUGAGAAGAGGUUCGAGAACCUUGCAUUCUUGAACUUGGCUCAGAGUGUUGUCUGCUUGGUCUGGUCUUAUAUAAUGAUCAAGCUCUGGUCAAACGCUGGUAACGGUGGAGCACCAUGGUGGACGUACUGGAGUGCUGGCAUUACUAAUACAAUUGGUCCUGCCAUGGGUAUUGAAGCCUUGAAGUAUAUUAGUUAUCCAGCUCAGGUCCUGGCAAAAUCGUCAAAAAUGAUUCCAGUUAUGCUGAUGGGAACUUUGGUUUACGGAAUAAGAUACACUUUCCCUGAAUACAUUUGCAGUUUUCUUGUCGCGGGAGGAGUAUCAGUCUUUGCUCUUCUUAAGACAAGCUCAAAGACAAUUAGCAAGCUAGCACAUCCAAAUGCUCCCCUCGGCUAUGCACUUUGCUCCUUGAAUCUCGCCUUCGACGGAUUCACAAACGCCACCCAAGACUCCAUUGCCUCCAGGUACCCAAAAACCGAAGCGUGGGACAUAAUGCUGGGAAUGAACUUAUGGGGCACAAUAUACAACUUGAUCUACAUGUUUGGAUUGCCACAAGGGAUUGGAUUUGAAGCAAUUCAGUUCUGUAAGCUACAUCCAGAAGCGGCAUGGGACAUUCUAAAGUAUUGUCUAUGCGGUGCCGUGGGACAAAACUUCAUCUUCAUGACAAUAAGUAACUUCGGGUCGCUAGCUAACACGACCAUAACCACGACCAGGAAGUUUGUUAGUAUUGUUGUGUCAUCAGUAAUGAGCGGGAAUCCAUUGGAUAGACAAAUGAGAGAUCGGUUGUUAUCUCUUCUACUCAUUGGGGAUAGAAGAUAUGACAAAGGUUUGCAAGCCUGGUUCUCCUCUCGUUCCUGAUCCUCACUUAGGUUUUUUAACCAUAACACUUUUCAACCAAAUGUUGUCCAAGUUGUAGAAAGGUUAUUUUCAUUUUGAAUAUAAAAUUUAACAUUACAUUAAAGAAAAAGAAAAAAACGAAUCCAGCUUAGAUCACUGGUUUUAGCGGUUUAGUAAGAAUUUGGUUUUGAUGAAACCCGGUCUACAAAAUAAUUAUAAAGUUGGAUCGACCGGUAUGGUUAGAACAGUAACAGAGGAAAUGGAGGUUGAAAAAUUCAAAUUAAAAACAAAAGGUAGGAAAGAAAGUGAUGAUUACGUUUUUGUCUUCCACUAACCAACACUUAAAAACACCUCCCAUUUUUAUAGAGAAGCAGAUCCAGAUCCAACUAAGUAUAGACCUCUUCAGUCUUCUUCAUUUGAGUUGUUUUACUUCUGCAACUAUAAUCACAGACGAAGGAGAAGAUGGUCUUGAAAAAUAUAGGUUCUGUACAGAGAAAUCAAGAAAACAACAAAUCAAGAAUUCAUGGGGGAAGACAAACCCGGAUUAUGUAUCCUGGGUUUGACCCUUGAAGACGGGUGGGACAAACGAAAGAAUAUUUUUCUUAGACACACAAAUCAUGACUGGAAAAGAAAAACUCAUACUAUUAAAGCCAUUUUUUUAUGAAAUGGCUUUGAGGGUAUGAUGAUGAAAAGAAAAUUGGGAAUCCUGAGUAUCUGAGAGAGAAACUCAGUUUCUGAGAAGGGGGGUCUAGACUUAGAAAUGUUACCUUUAACAUUCUAGGAUUCUAGAUUAUGAACACUGAGAGAGGAAGGUAGAAAAAAAUGCAGAUCAUGGCACGCCCGCUUCACUAAAACUUUUCAGGCCUAUAUGGCUGCAAAU